rnacentral:rRNA from 1 species
CCUACGGGAGGCAGCAGUGGGGAAUUUUGGACAAUGGGCGAAAGCCUGAUCCAGCAAUGCCGCGUGAGUGAAGAAGGCCUUCGGGUUGUAAAGCUCUUUUGUCAGGGAAGAAACGGUGAGAGCUAAUAUCUCUUGCUAAUGACGGUACCUGAAGAAUAAGCACCGGCUAACUACGUGCCAGCAGCCGCGGUAAUACGUAGGGUGCAAGCGCUAAUCGGAAUUACUGGGCGUAAAGCGUGCGCAGGCGGUUUUGUAAGUCUGAUGUGAAAUCCCCGGGCUCAACCUGGGAAUUGCAUUGGAGACUGCAAGGCUAGAAUCUGGCAGAGGGGGGUAGAAUUCCACGUGUAGCAGUGAAAUGCGUAGAUAUGUGGAGGAACACCGAUGGCGAAGGCAGCCCCCUGGGGUCAAGAUUGACGCUCAUGCACGAAAGCGUGGGGAGCAAACAGGAUUAGAUACCCUGGUAGUCCACGCCCUAAACGAUGUCUACUAGUUGUCGGGUCUUAAUUGACUUGGUAACGCAGCUAACGCGUGAAGUAGAACCGCCUGGGGAGUUACGGGUCGCGAAAGAUUAAAACUUCAAAAUGAAUUGACGG